CCUACGGGUGGCUGCAGUGAGGAAUAUUGGUCAAUGGGCGGAAGCCUGAACCAGCCAAGUAGCGUGCAGGAUGACGGCCCUACGGGUUGUAAACUGCUUUUAUACGGGAAUAACGCGCCUUACGUGUAGGGCUUUGCAUGUACCGUAUGAAUAAGGACCGGCUAAUUCCGUGCCAGCAGCCGCGGUAAUACGGAAGGUCCGGGCGUUAUCCGGAUUUAUUGGGGUUAAAGGGAGCGUAGGCCGCAUGUCAAGCGUGCUGUGAAAUUUUCGGGCUCAACCCGGGCCUUGCAGCGCGAACUGGAGUGCUUGAGUCCGCGGAAAGUAGGCGGAAUUCGUGGUGUAGCGGUGAAAUGCUUAGAUAUGACGAAGAACCCCGAUUGCGAAGGCAGCUUGCUGCAGCGGAACUGACGCUGAUGCUCGAAAGCGCGGGUAUCGAACAGGAUUAGAUACCCUGGUAGUC
rnacentral:rRNA from 1 species